rnacentral:rRNA from 1 species
UACGUAGGGGGCAAGCGUUGUCCGGAAUCAUUGGGCGUAAAGAGCGUGUAGGCGGCUUGGUAAGUCUGCUGUGAAAGUCCAGGGCUCAACCCUGGGAUGCCGGUGGAUACUGUCAAGCUCGAGUCCGGAAGAGGCGAGUGGAAUUCCUGGUGUAGCGGUGAAAUGCGCAGAUAUCAGGAGGAACACCGAUGGCGAAGGCAGCUCGCUGGGACGUGACUGACGCUGAGACGCGAAAGCGUGGGGAG